ensembl:misc_RNA predicted gene, 27315
CAUACCCCAGCAGGAAAGAGACCAGCUAAAGUAGCAUGUAAUAUCCUUCCUAUCCCCACGCAGCUGUCUGAGGCAUCUCUUUCCUCUGGUCAAGUCUGAUUUGUAUUUCUUCCCAGUUAAUACCCCCAGAGUGCUCCAGCUUUCUUUCUGCCUG